rnacentral:rRNA from 1 species
AGUGAACGCUGGCGGUAGGCCUAACACAUGCAAGUCGAACGGCAGCACAGUAAGAGCUUGCUCUUACGGGUGGCGAGUGGCGGACGGGUGAGGAAUACAUCGGAAUCUACUUUUUCGUGGGGGAUAACGUAGGGAAACUUACGCUAAUACCGCAUACGACCUACGGGUGAAAGCAGGGGAUCUUCGGACCUUGCGCGAUUGAAUGAGCCGAUGUCGGAUUAGCUAGUUGGCGGGGUAAAGGCCCACCAAGGCGACGAUCCGUAGCUGGUCUGAGAGGAUGACCAGCCACACUGGAACUGAGACACGGUCCAGACUCCUACGGGAGGCAGCAGUGGGGAAUAUUGGACAAUGGGGGCAAGCCUGAUCCAGCCAUACCGCGUGGGUGAAGAAGGCCUUCGGGUUGUAAAGCCCUUUUGUUGGGAAAGAAAAGCAGCAGGUUAAUACCCCGCUGUUCUGACGGUACCCAAAGAAUAAGCACCGGCUAACUUCGUG